UACGAAGGGGGCUAGCGUUGCUCGGAAUCACUGGGCGUAAAGGGUGCGUAGGCGGGUCUUUAAGUCAGGUGUGAAAUCCUGGAGCUCAACUCCAGAACUGCCUUUGAUACUGAGGAUCUUGAGUUCGGGAGAGGUGAGUGGAACUGCGAGUGUAGAGGUGAAAUUCGUAGAUAUUCGGAAGAACACCAGUGGCGAAGGCGGCUCACUGGUCAGGUACUGACGCUGAGGUGCGAAAGCGUGGGGAGCAAACAGG
rnacentral:rRNA from 1 species